UUCGAUUUGCUUAAUUUUCCGAGAUUAUGUUUUAUUCGGUUAUCUGUGGUUCUAACAUUUGAAUUUUUUUCAUGAUGAAAUAUCAUAUGGAUGAGGAGUUGAGAUGGAUGCCGGGAAAAGCUACUUGGAAUAGUGGUUUUGACAGCUUCACUACAUUAUUGCAGCUGCGGGACGACCAACACGUGAAUAUUCUACGCCAAUCCUUCCUCUGGAAGGGAGGACUAGUACUCCGGGCAAAUCAUCGAUGACCAAAUUAAGAACAAAAGAUGAUUGGUAUUCCAUUAGUUAUAGAAUUCAUGGAAUGCACAACGACUUGGAAAGGAAACAUGGAAUUACAGAAGCUAAGGAUAAUAGAACAAAUACAGCCUAAAUUGAAGAUAAUAUUUCAUGUGAUAGAAUGAUUAUAGAGAUUUCAUUUUUUCUUAUCAACGAGCACAUAUCAAAUGAUGAUGAUAUACAUAUAAAUUAUUGCAUAUUGGGCCUUAUUAUUGGACUUGGACGAGGUCCAUUAACGCAUUCA
rnacentral:lncRNA from 1 species